GCAGGGGUACCCAAGUCCGGUCAAAGGGACAUGGCUUAGGACCAUGUGGCUUAGUGCCUUCGCCGGUUCAAAUCCGGCCUCCUGCA
rnacentral:tRNA from 1 species